AGAGUUUGAUCAUGGCUCAGAUUGAACGCUGGCGGCAUGCUUUACACAUGCAAGUCGAACGGCAGCACGGGGGCAACCCUGGUGGCGAGUGGCGAACGGGUGAGUAAUAUAUCGGAACGUACCCGGAAAUGGGGGAUAACGUAGCGAAAGUUACGCUAAUACCGCAUAUGCCCUAAGGGGGAAAGCGGGGGAUUCGCAAGAACCUCGCGUUUCGGAGCGGCCGAUAUCGGAUUAGCUAGUAGGUGAGGUAAAGGCUCACCUAGGCGACGAUCCGUAGCUGGUCUGAGAGGACGACCAGCCACACUGGAACUGAGACACGGUCCAGACUCCUACGGGAGGCAGCAGUGGGGAAUUUUGGACAAUGGGCGCAAGCCUGAUCCAGCCAUGCCGCGUGAGUGAAGAAGGCCUUCGGGUUGUAAAGCUCUUUCAGCCGGAAAGAAAACGCACGGGUUAAUAACCUGUGUGGAUGACGGUACCGGAAGAAGAAGCACCGGCUAACUACGUG
rnacentral:rRNA from 1 species